rnacentral:sRNA from 1 species
GAUUGCUUGUGCUUAUGGUAGAUUGUUCGCAAACCAGCUCACUUGUUCCUUGACGAGAUUGGUGUGGCUUACGAUGAGCAAGACACCUACGUUGUGGUUAAGCACGCGGCUCUGUUCACAUCAACCAUCAUGAGCAAGCUUUUGGCUCGUCCUAAUGUGAAGCUCUUCAACGCUGUGGCUGCUGAGGAUUUGAUUGUGAAAGGAAACAGAGUUGGUGGUGUGGUGACUAACUGGGCUCUUGUGGCUCAGAACCACCACACACAAUCGUGUAUGGACCCUAAUGUUAUGGAAGCGAAGAUUGUGGUUAGCUCUUGUGGUCAUGAUGGUCCUUUUGGAGCUACUGGUGUUAAGAGGUUGAAGAGUAUUGGGAUGAUUGAUCAUGUUCCUGGGAUGAAAGCUUUGGACAUGAACACUGCUGAGGACGCUAUUGUGAGGUUGACCAGAGAGGUUGUUCCUGGUAUGAUUGUUACCGGUAUGGAAGUUGCUGAGAUCGAUGGUGCACCGAGAAUGGUGAGUAUUCUUGACCUAUAUAUGUUUGAUUUGGUAUCCAUAGUUUUCGUUAGAUCAUGUCCUGAGUUAGUUUGUGGUGAUGUAGGGA